rnacentral:tRNA from 1 species
GCUCCCGUCGUCCAGAGGUCUAGGAUUCCUCUCUUUCAAGGAGGCGACACGGGUUCGAAUCCCGUCGGGAGCA